rnacentral:rRNA from 1 species
UGAGGCUUCCGGACUGGCCCAGAGAGGUCGGCAACGACCACUCAGGGCCGGAAAGCUAUCCAAACUCGGUCAUUUAGAGGAAGUAAAAGUCGUAACAAGGUCUCCGUUGGUGAACCAGCGGAGGGAUCAUUAUUAGAAGCCGAAAGGCUACUUAAAACCAUCGCGAACUCGUCCAAGUUGCUUCGGCGGCGCGGCCUCCCUCACGGGGGCGCCGCAGCCCCGCCUCUCCGGAGGUGUGGGGCGCCCGCCGGAGGUACGAAACUCUGUAUUAUAGUGGCAUCUCUGAGUAAAAAACAAAUAAGUUAAAACUUUCAACAACGGAUCUCUUGGUUCUGGCAUCGAUGAAGAACGCAGCGAAAUGCGAUAAGUAAUGUGAAUUGCAGAAUUCAGUGAAUCAUCGAAUCUUUGAACGCACAUUGCGCCCGCUAGUACUCUAGCGGGCAUGCCUGUUCGAGCGUCAUUUCAACCCUCAAGCCCUGCUUGGUGUUGGGGCCCUACGGCUGCCGUAGGCCCUGAAAGGAAGUGGCGGGCUCGCUACAACUCCGAGCGUAGUAAUUCAUUAUCUCGCUAGGGACGUUGCGGCGCGCUCCUGCCGUUAAAGACCAUCUUUAACUCAAGGUUGACCUCGGAUCAGGUAGGAAUACCCGCUGAACUUAAGCAUAUCAAUAAGCGGAGGAAAAGAAACCAACAGGGAUUGCCCCAGUAACGGCGAGUGAAGCGGCAACAGCUCAAAUUUGAAAUCUGGCUUCGGCCCGAGUUGUAAUUUGUAGAGGAUGCUUUUGGUGAGGUGCCUUCUGAGUUCCCUGGAACGGGACGCCAGAGAGGGUGAGAGCCCCGUAUAGUCGGCCACCGAUCCUACUA